GCAUUGGUAGACAGAUUGUUGCCAGGCUCAGAGAGAGGCCAUAGGCAGUGUUAUAGGGGCUAGAGCAAAGGAGGNGUGAGAGGCUUUGCUGAUUGAGAUUAAGAUAUCUACCAGAUAUCUUGGGACACUGUAGUGCCGACCAAGUGGGGGUAAAAGACAGCAUUCCAUUUUUAUAAUUUUACAGCAACACAUACACCUGCAGAGAAGCCAUUGGUAUUUUGUACAGUAAAUUUUCCCCUUUUCCCAUGUAUUUGAGGCUCAUCACCAAGUUUUCUUCUGUUAGUUUGAGUAUCUGGUUUUAUGUGGAGUUCCUUGAUCCACUUGAAUUUAGUGAUAAGAAUGGGUCAAUUUGCAUUCUUCUACAUCUUAACCUCCAGGUGAACAAGCACCAUUUGUUGAAAUGUUAUCUUUUUUCCACCUGAUGGUUUUAGUUCCUUUGUCAAACAUCAGUUGACCACAUGAGUGUGGGUUCAUUUCUGGGUCUUCAAUUCUGUUCCACUGAUCUGCCUGUCUCUGUACGAAUACCAUACAGUUUUUAUCCUCAUUGCUCUGUAGUACUGCUUGGGGAUGAUGAUUUCCCCAGAAGUUCUUUUAUUGUUGAGUAUUUUGUAUGCUAUUCUGGUUUUUUUGUUAUUCCAAAUGAAUUUGCAAAUUGCUCUUUAGUCUUUGAAUAAUUGAGUUGGAAAUUUGGUGG
rnacentral:lncRNA from 1 species